rnacentral:lncRNA from 1 species
GUUCUUUCUGCACUCCCAAAUCUUUCUAAGUGGUUUUGUCAAGAACAAAAACACUUUUAGCAUCUUCCACUUGUUCUUGAAUUACAUUUCUCCGGUACUUUACUGGAGAGAAGAGCACCUGCUUUGCUAAACCUUACUGUCUACCACACUAAUUUUACAACUAAUGUUAACCUGGCCAGGAUGUAGUUAUACUAACUGACAUAAAUUGGGUUUUGCCUGUAUAAACUAGAUGAAAAUAAUUUCAUAAGUCAUUAGGGAACCAUAUGACACUUUUAAACAAUUGCAAUUGCAAAAUAGUUCCUUUGGUCAUGAUUUUAAUAGGAUCUGGUCUGUUACACAAGAAAUAAAUAAAUAAAUAAAUAAAUAAAAUAAAAAAAAAGAACAUCUGAGACAAGUGUGUAGUAAUUUGGUUGUAAUUAUGGUGUAGGCAAAGCCAAGAAGAGCAGAGGCAGGAGCAAAGUUCGUGGUUCCAUCCACGAUGGAGGAAAUUCUAGGUGAGGUUAAGGUGAACUUAGGACAACUUCAAGUAUCCAUUUUACAAUCUUGUUGCCACUUGCUAUUUGUUGUAUGAAAGCACUCAGUAUUUAAUAAUCCAGGUGCUAUUUGUGCAAAGGAAGAUAGCCACUGCAGCAAAAAGCACCCUGAAUAGAAAGAACAUAGAAUUAAUUUUUUAAAGAUAUUCAACAAGCCCUUGCCCUGUUUUGCAGAACUGGAAAGUCAUCUUGUAACCGAACCAGAAUACUAAAUCUAAUUGCAAAUAUCUUAAGGUCAUUGCUGAAUUAUGAAAUUCAGACUCAGCUAUACUUAGCGUGCAAAUGUCUGUUUUGUUUGCCCAAGAGAAAAUGUGGAUCUGAGCAAUACACAUUCUUACAUGUACAGGAGCAAAUCCUGCACAAAUCUAAAAUGUCUUCAUCUUUACUGCAGGUCAAGGUCUAACAGUAAAAAGCACAGGCUGACAAGAUUGGUAUUGUCACUGUAGAAAUGUUAGAGGAACAACUUGGAAGCACUGCAGAAGGGACAAGUUCAACAAAAGAUGCUGUUUGGUUCACAAAGCUGAAAAUGAAAUUCACAUGGAGAAGAGGAGAUGAAAAAGAUGAGAGGGAGAACUACUUCCAAUGAGACCGAAAAGUAGGGCUUGGGGUAUGAAGCAAUUUUAGAAGACCUCUGUAAGGAGGUGCAGAAGCUGUAAGCUGUCAUCUAUGUGGAGCUACUUAGAUGAUACAAAACUUGGUCUCAGAAGCUUGAUGUGUUGUGUAGUUGGAAAAUAGUGGUUGAAUAUCUGGCUAUUUUUGGUUAGAGACCUACCUUCUUUGCAUUCCUUAGUUGGAAAAUGCAG